CCUAACACAUGCAAGUCGAGCGGCAGCACGGGUACUUGUACCUGGUGGCGAGCGGCGGACGGGUGAGUAAUGCCUAGGAAUCUGCCUGGUAGUGGGGGAUAACGCUCGGAAACGGACGCUAAUACCGCAUACGUCCUACGGGAGAAAGCAGGGGACCUUCGGGCCUUGCGCUAUCAGAUGAGCCUAGGUCGGAUUAGCUAGUUGGUGAGGUAAUGGCUCACCAAGGCGACGAUCCGUAACUGGUCUGAGAGGAUGAUCAGUCACACUGGAACUGAGACACGGUCCAGACUCCUACGGGAGGCAGCAGUGGGGAAUAUUGGACAAUGGGCGAAAGCCUGAUCCAGCCAUGCCGCGUGUGUGAAGAAGGUCUUCGGAUUGUAAAGCACUUUAAGUUGGGAGGAAGGGCAGUUACCUAAUACGUAUCUGUUUUGACGUUACCGACAGAAUAAGCACCGGCUAACUCUGUGCCAGCAGCCGCGGUAAUACAGAGGGUGCAAGCGUUAAUCGGAAUUACUGGGCGUAAAGCGCGCG
rnacentral:rRNA from 1 species